UAUCCAUCCAUAUUGUGUGCCCUUUAUGC
rnacentral:piRNA from 1 species